rnacentral:rRNA from 1 species
GACAGAGGGGGCAAGCGUUGCUCGGAAUCACUGGGCGUAAAGGGCGCGUAGGCGGGAUGGCAAGUCGGUCGUGAAAUCUCUCGGCUCAACCGAAGAACGUCGGCCGAUACUGCCGUUCUUGAGGGAUGCAGAGGAGACUGGAAUUCCCCGGUGUAGCGGUGAAAUGUGUAGAUAUCUGGAGGAACACCGGUGGCGAAGGCGGCAUCCUGGACCGAUAUUGACGCUGAUGCGCGAAAGCCAGGGGAGCAAACGGG